AUUGAACGCUGGCGGCAGGCCUAACACAUGCAAGUCGAACGAGUGGCGGACGGGUGAGUAAUGUCUGGGAAACUGCCCGAUGGAGGGGGAUAACUACUGGAAACGGUAGCUAAUCCCGCAUACCAUCGGAUGUGCCCAGAUGGGAUUAGCUAGUAGGUGGGGUAAAGGCGCACCUAGUCGACGAUCCCUAGCUGGUCUGAGAGGAUGAACAGCCACACUGGAACUGAGACACGGUCCAGACUCCUACGGGAGGCAGCAGUGGGGAAUAUUGCACAAUGGGCGAAAGCCUGAUGCAGCCAUGCCGCGUGUAUGAAGAAGGCCUUCGGGUUGUAAAGUACUUUCAGCGGGGAGGCGUUACCCGCAGAAGAAGCACCGGCUAACUCCGUGCCAGCAGCCGCGGUAAUUC
rnacentral:rRNA from 1 species